ACGGGAGGCAGCAGUGAGGAAUAUUGGUCAAUGGGCGGAAGCCUGAACCAGCCAAGUCGCGUGAAGGAUGAAGGUAUUAUGUAUUGUAAACUUCUUUAGACGUAGAGAAAUAAGGCGCUCGUGAGCGCUGAUGCUAGUAUACGUAGAAUAAGGAUCGGCUAACUCCGUGCCAGCAGCCGCGGUAAUACGGAGGAUGCAAGCGUUAUCCGGAUUUAUUGGGUUUAAAGGGUGCGUAGGCGGACUGUUAAGUCAGCGGUGAAAUACCACGGCUCAACCGUGGGGCUGCCGUUGAUACUGGCGGUCUGGAGUACGAUCGGCGCCGGCGGAAUGUGUCAUGUAGCGGUGAAAUGCAUAGAUAUGACACAGAACACCGAUCGCGAAGGCAGCUGGCGAGAACGAUACUGACGCUGAGGCACGAAGGUGCGGGGAUCAAACAGGAUUAGAUACCCUGGUA
rnacentral:rRNA from 1 species